rnacentral:rRNA from 1 species
CAGUAGCCACGGGAAUACGAAGGGGGCUAGCGUUGCUCGGAAUUACUGGGCGUAAAGGGAGCGUAGGCGGACAUUUAAGUCAGGGGUGAAAUCCCAGAGCUCAACUCUGGAACUGCCUUUGAUACUGGGUGUCUUGAGUGUGAUAGAGGUAUGUGGAACUCCGAGUGUAGAGGUGAAAUUCGUAGAUAUUCGCAGGAACACCAGUGGCGAAGGCGGCUAACUGGUCCAUAACUGACGCUGAGGUGCGAAAGCGUGGGGAGCAAACAGGAUUAGAUACCCCUGUAGUCCCUGUCUCUUAUAC